GACGAACGCUGGCGGCGUGCUUAACACAUGCAAGUCGAACGGGACGGCCCUGCUUUUGUGCGGUGCUCGAGUUGCGAACUGGUGAGUAACACGUGAGUACCCAGCCCUUGACUUUGGGAUAACUUAAUGACACUGGGUCUAUUCCCGGAUAGGAUCUCCUGCUGCAUGGUGGGGGCUGGUUAGUUUCGGCGGUUGGUGAUGGACUCGCGGCGUAUGAGCUUGUUGGUUGGGUAGUGGCUUACCAAGGCUAUGACGGGUAGCCGGCCUGGGAGGGUGACCGGCCACACUGGGACGGGGAUACGGCACAGACUCGUAUGGGACGCAGGGGUGGGGAAGAGUGCAUAAGGGGCGGAAGCCUGAUGUAGCAACGCCGCGUGCGGGAUGAGAGCAAGGGGGUUGGAAAGCGAUGCUGCUUUACCCGAGGUGAGAAUGACAGUAAUGGGUAAAGAAGCACCGGCUAACUACGUG
rnacentral:rRNA from 1 species